GUCGAGAAUCUUUCACAAUGGGGGCAACCCUGAUGGAGCGACGCCGCGUGGAGGAUAAGGUCUUCGGAUUGUAAACUCCUGUCAUGCGUGAACAAGGUUGCUUGGUUAAUACCUGGGCAAAUUGAUGGUAACGCAAGAGGAAGAGACGGCUAACUCUGUGCCAGCAGCCGCGGUAAUACAGAUGUCUCAAGCGUUGUUCGGAAUCACUGGGCGUAAAGGGUGCGUAGGUGGCGUGGUAAGUCAGAUGUGAAAGCCCGGGGCUCAACCUCGGAAAUGCAUCCGAUACUGCCAUGCUAGAGUACUGGAGAGGUGACUAGAAUUCUCGGUGUAGCAGUGAAAUGCGUAGAUAUCGAGAGGAAUACCAAAGGCGUAGGCAGGUCACUGGACAGUUACUGACACUGAGGCACGAAGGCCAGGGGAGCGAACGGGAUUAGAUACCCGAGUAGUCC
rnacentral:rRNA from 1 species